rnacentral:lncRNA from 1 species
ACAACUGAUAAAAAGUAGCUAUUAUUACAGUGAAACGAAAGCAUGGAAUCAUAUGUGGCUAUUGGAAUCACCAGGAGAUAGUUUGGAAUGUAUUCUACUUCAUUCAAGUGAGUCUCGUGAUCUGAACUACCUAAAUAGGGACGCAUCUUUAUGUCGAUCUUGACCCAAAUCACACUUGAAGGCUGAAACCCACAUGAAUAAACGAUUACUCACACCAAGUUCUGAUAUAAAGGAAGAGGGAAGAGGAAGGGAAUAAUCGUGACAAAUGGAAGCCCAGUGAUGAAGCGAACCCUUUAGCAAUAGCAUGUCGACCAUCAGAGAUGACUCCUUGCCUACAUCUUGUAAUGUCCUUCUACAUAGAACUGAUUUCACAUUGAUUAGAAAACAACCUAUAUGUGAGGAAUUUUGUGAUACUAAUAUAUGAUAACUCAAAUCAGGGAUGAAAGACUUCUCCGUAUCUUAGUAUCUUAGCUCAUGCAAACCUAAGAAAAAAUACUAGUUUCAAGCCUUGAACCACAAAAGGAUUUGAAGGUAAGCUCACAAACCUGAUAAAAGGUUCCAUCUCUAUACUAUUCCUUAGUUCAAUCAUCCGAACAAAGAUCACUCACGACAUUAUUCAUUUACCUAAGUGAAGCAUGGAACAAAAUGUGAAGCAUGAAGUAAAAUAGCAUUGAGAAAGAAAAAGAUCAACUGUACCUAAGCUGAGAUCAACUGACGGGGGAGUUCUUUCCAUAUUAUUCUUUAGCUAUGUUAAGGUGAACAGUAAAAUUGCAGCUGCAAGAACUCCUAGCUCAAAAACAUCCAACUGAAGCUUCUUAUAGCAUAAUAAAAAAAAUCUAAAGCCGCAAAGUAUAUUGAAAUGGCAAUAAGCAGCCUGAUACAGGCUGGCAAAAAAAAGAGCAAGUGAUAAGAUACAUAGAUGUAAUAUCCACAAUAUUCUAUUCAGUGCUAUCAACAAUGAAAUACUAAUUAUUAGAUGUGAGCUGCACAUUUAGUGUACAUGCCAGUGCCAUCAAAACAUCGGGUGGCAAAACACACGGUUGAACCUCAUUGCACCAGCACUUGUGUAGAACACUGAAUGUGAAAGAAGCAGAUUAAAUAUCCUCCUGAAACAUAAUGGUGUGCAGUUGCCGAUGGAAAAUCGUGUGGUUACUUGCUCUGAAUUUAAUCUGUAAGCAGCCCACAGGAAACCUGCAAAAACUUUCUGAAUUUUGGGGGCACCAAUUCCAUGUGAACAUUUUUUUGACAACAAUUCCUUGUGAACAUGGUAUAAAAGGUGACUAUCUUUGUUGGAUAUUGCUGCCUACGACUUGGGCCCAAAAGGUCGAGCAUGAAAAACUAAAUUGAACAAAACUUACUUUACCAAACUUAGGAACUGGCAAUCCCUAGUCCUUGGCUAACGCCUCAAUCGGAACCCGUGGUCGCCACCUGUGGCAUCAGUAUAUUAAGCCGAUGUGCUAGAGCAAGAUGAUGUACUGUCAGAAGGUAAGGCUCCGAUGCAGAGCUCAGUUCAUCCAUAUGUAGAUGUAAUGAAACAUACAAUAUCCUAAUCAUGUGAAAUUUAAACAUCCUAGACACAACCAAAUAACACUACCAUAGCAGAAGCAUACAUCUACCACAUCAGAAAACCAAAUCAAGCGAAUCAAAAAGGAAAUUGAGGGAGAGGGAGAAGGAGAAGAGAUGCUCAUGCUUUCUUCAGGAUGGGCUUACGGGCGUUGAUGGAGGCAGCGAGGAGCCGGUCGGACUGGGCGCUUGUCAGGGCCCUUGCAACAGAGAAACAUGCGACACUCGUGGUAGACCAUUGUCCCGGUGAGCUUCUUCUUCCCAAGCUCAUCCCACGGGAACCCGAAAUUCUUGUACAGAUCGGGGUCACGGCAGGGAUGGCUGCAUCCUGCGUAUCCGAUGCCGUCUACGCGAGGAGGGCCUGGAGGAGAGCAAACGGCGUGAGCAUAGCCUGAUUCACUUGAGCUCCUUGACGAUCUGGUGGGCGGCAAUGGAUCGGAACCCCUGCUCGGCCCAUGUCCAUAGCCGAUGAAGGAUAGUAAGUCCGGCGAAUGUGAUCAGGCCAAUGCUUCCCCUGGCUGCUGCUACUGGUAUAUGCGAUGCGCUGGUCCAUUAGGUGGAGGUGAUGGUAGUGCGGGGGAGACAGGGCUACAGUCUGCAGAGCCCUGCAGUUGAGGAGAAGAAGAUGAAUCGAGUGACAUAGGUGAAGCGGUGCGCAAUGAUUUGGGCGUGAAGAUGGGGAGGGUAGACCGGUAGAGGAGGAGGCAAAGGUGCAUUGAAUCCUUUGCACUGACGUGAUUUAAUAGGGAUCGGAGAAGAUAAAGAGGGCGAGGAGCUUCAGUGGAGAAGCCAGGAAGGAGAAGAGGCAUUGUGGUGGAGAAAAAACGCUGGCGAAGAGAAGAAAAG